CGAAGGGUGCAAGCGUUACUCGGAAUUACUGGGCGUAAAGCGUGCGUAGGUGGUUCGUUAAGUCUGAUGUGAAAGCCCUGGGCUCAACCUGGGAAUGGCAUUGGAAACUGGCGACCUAGAGUGCGGUAGAGGGUAGUGGAAUUCCCGGUGUAGCAGUGAAAUGCGUAGAGAUCGGGAGGAACAUCCGUGGCGAAGGCGACUACCUGGACCAGCACUGACACUGAGGCACGAAAGCGUGGGGAGCAAACAGGAUUAGAUACCCUGGUAGUCCACGCCCUAAACGAUGCGAACUGGAUGUUGGGUGCAACUAGGCACUCAGUAUCGAAGCUAACGCGUUAAGUUCGCCGCCUGGGGAGUACGGUCGCAAGACUG
rnacentral:rRNA from 1 species